GCAUAAACCUGAUAGAACGGCUAUACUUUUUGUUGCAGUAACAUUAAUUGUUAAAGUUACGGACACAAAAAGAUAAUAGUGAUAGCAGGGCUGACU
rnacentral:sRNA from 1 species